GCUUAACACAUGCAAGUCGAACGGUAGCAGGUCCUUCGGGAUGCUGACGAGUGGCGGACGGGUGCGUAACGCGUGGGAAUCUGCCCAAUAGUGGGGGAUAACCCGGGGAAACUCGGGCUAAUACCGCAUACUCCCUACGGGGGAAAGCGGGGGACCGUAAGGCCUCGCGCUAUUGGAUGAGCCCGCGUCCGAUUAGCUUGUUGGUGGGGUAAAGGCCUACCAAGGCGACGAUCGGUAGCUGGUCUGAGAGGACGACCAGCCACACUGGGACUGAGACACGGCCCAGACUCCUACGGGAGGCAGCAGUGGGGAAUAUUGGACAAUGGGGGCAACCCUGAUCCAGCAAUACCGCGUGUGUGAAGAAGGCCUUCGGGUUGUAAAGCACUUUUAGCAGGAAAGAAAGCCUGUACGUUAAUACCGUACGGUUUUGACGUUACCUGCAGAAAAAGCACCGGCUAACUCCGUGCCAGCAGCCGCGGUAAUAC
rnacentral:rRNA from 1 species